CUUACCCCAAAAAGAUAAAUAAUUCAACAUCGAGGUCAUAAUCUUUUUCUUUUAUAAGAGCUUUAAGAAAAAAUUGUGCUGUUAUCCCUACGGUAGCUUGUUUUAUUCUCAUUUUGAGGAUGGGGUUAGAGAUAAAAAGAAGAUUUAGUUUUUUACCGCCCCAGUUCAACAGAAGUAAAUUUUGAUAGGGUCUUGUCGUCCUUCUUUGUUAUACAAGUUUUUUUACUUGAGCGAAAAGUUAAAAAAGUUAGGGUAAUAAAGAAAUUCAUAUGUCAAACCUUUCAUACUAGCCUUAAAUUAAAAGGCAAAUGAUUAUGCUACCUUAGCACAGAUUGAUUGCGGCUAUUUAAAGGAUCAUUGAGCAGGUCCUACUGAGUAUGAUCCCAUUCAGAA
rnacentral:rRNA from 1 species